GAUGAAGAACGUAGCGAAAUGCGAUAAGUAGUGUGAAUUGCAGAAUUCCGUGAAUCAUCGAAUCUUUGAACGCACAUUGCGCCUUCUGGUAUUCCGGAAGGCAUGCCUGUUCGAGAGUCAUUAACAACCGUUUCGAUCCCUUUCUUUCAGAAAUUACAAAGAGGAAAAGGGUUUGGUUAUGGUGGAGGAGGGAAAGGGAGCGUUUAGCCUGUAAAAAAAGAGGCUGUGUUCCGCCUCCCCCCCAAAAUUGUACAGGCGGUCGUGUGCGCCCACGCAUCGAGGUGUUGUAAAAGCUGCCACGGCACUUUUCACCUGUGCAGUGCGAGAGUGGCCAGCCGGUUUAAAAACCCCUCCAAACAAUCAAAGGUUGACCUCGGAUCAGGUAGGGAUACCCGCUGAACUUAAGCAUAUCAAUAAGCGGAGGA
rnacentral:misc_RNA from 1 species